GGGGUCAAUUAAUGGAUAAUAUAUUCAGUUGUGUUUAUUAUAAAACAAAAAAUGUUAAAGGCAAAAGACAGUUUUGCACUCUCGUUCCGAUUCAUUUGUAUCAGAAGUAUUUUGUGUAAAUGCAGCAUUUGCGUGAGUGUAGCUAAUAAAUACGUUAGCUAAAUCUAGUUAUAUCCAGUUCUAUAUUAGUUUGUAUUUUACUAUGGGUUCCCUGUGCCUUACCCAGUGUGGGUAUCAAAACCCCAUUUUUAACUUUAUAAGCCCUUGGACUUAAUGCAUUUAAACAGUAUUUAGUAUGUGAAGUGUUUCAUAAUUUAAUGCCUCCAGUUGACUUAGCUGUAAGAAUGAGAGGCUAUAAUGCUAAGAAUCGGGUUUUAAUACCUGCGGUAGCCAGAGCAAAGAUGGACUAUUGUGUAGUUUUGUUAAUAAAUUUAAACAGAUAAACAGUUAUAUAAUGGUAAAUGUGUCUAGUGAGCGGGUGAUAAGGUGGACAUGAUUGGAUGAAAAGUUAAAGGAUUGGAUAGACAGACUGACUGGAUGAAAGUUUAGAUGAAUGAGUAAAAUUUUCACAAGUAAAAAAAAAUGCUGACUAUUUUGAUGACUUGUCACAGGGAUGAAAAGUUUGCUUGACAAAUAGCUCUGUUGAUUAAAAAAAAUGGUGCAAGGGUUAAUUAUUGGUCCAAUAAGAAACAAACUGGCCAGUAUCUCUCAGAGUUUGAGGUUUAGUUAGACAGAGUGGCAUAUACUAGAUGUACGUCUGUGUAUGGACAUAAGGAUUAAAGGAAGUACAGACAAAUAAGUGGAGAAAUAGAAAAGCCAACAGAAAAUCAUAAAAGCUGAUGUGAAAAGACUGACUACGAUGAAGGCACAAGAGAUUUUGAACAGAUGUCUAAAAACCCUUUAACUUUACCUGGUGAUGAAGAAGAGUCCAUUAGCUCCAGUCAUAUUGUUGUUAUAAUAAUGAUUUUUGAAAAUUUGGAGGUAAUAGAGAAACUCUUUUAAAGAAAACACGUAAAUUUUGACGUGUAAAUACCAGUUUACGGUUUAUUCAUAAACAAUGACAUCUAGAAGAUUUUCCUUGCACAGGUGUAAGAUUAUUUUUGCAGCUUCUUUAGUAUUGUUUUUGCUGGGAGUUUGUGUUUUAAUGUACUAUACAGAGUGUAUUGGCACGCCUUGUGAAGAUAGAAACAGUUUAAAAGGAGUAGUUCAAGAAGAAAAGCUAGCAUAUUUUGCUAACUCACCAGCUAGGGAGUUCAAAAGGUGGGAGCGACCUGUUUUACAAAAUAAUCCACCUCACUGGCCAGGAGAGAAUGGAAAAGCAGUGAUUAUUGGUAAAGAGGAAGAAACUUUGAAAAAUGAACUCUUUAAGCUCAAUCUAUUCAACUUGCUUGCCAGUGACCAAAUCUCUGUCAACAGAUCUAUUCCUGAUAGUCGAAUAAAAAGGUAA
rnacentral:lncRNA from 1 species